rnacentral:rRNA from 1 species
GGACGGCGCGAGCGUUGUUCGGAAUUACUGGGCGUAAAGCGCGCGCAGGCGGGCGUGUAAGUCGGGGGUGAAAUUUCAGGGCUCAACCCUGGAACUGCUUCCGAUACUGCACGUCUAGGGACCGGUAGAGGUCGGUGGAAUUCCCGGUGUAGCGGUGGAAUGCGUAGAGAUCGGGAAGAACACCCGUGGCGAAGGCGGCCGACUGGGCCGGAUCCGACGCUGAGGCGCGAAAGCGUGGGGAGCAAACAGGAUUAGAUACCCUGGUAGUCCACGCCGUAAACGAUGGGUGCUAGAUGCCGGGGGGAGCGACCCCUUCGGUGUCGCAGCUAACGCGUUAAGCACCCCGCCUGGGGAGUACGGCCGCAAGGCUG